UCUCAAAAUACACGUUUUAAACAAUUGAUAUCAAAAUGCAUCUUGUUUAUUUGGCUUUUGAAACUGUUAUAACACAACUUAUAACAUUGGAAAUAUAUUAUUUUAUUUAUACAAAGUUGUUUCCAUAGUAAAAUACCAAAUUAAUUAAAAGUCAGAAUGAAACGUACCAUAUCCAUGUAAACGACAAAUGAAAACUGUCAAAGUAUCCUUAUCUCUAAAAAGCCACAAAUUACAUUCUUUGAAGUAAAUAUUGGGUUUUAUUUCCUAAACUAUACACCUCAAUAUCACCUCCUGAAGCUUUUUACUCAGUUUCACCGUGGGUAUUUCGGACAUGCAAUGUUCCAUGCUGUCAAUCUCGGAAUGCCUCGUUUGUAUACAGGGAGACAAAGACUUGGAGACCCAGAAGCCUGAAAGUGGUUCUUGACCGACUUUGUCCACCCAAAUUAAGAUCAUCCAGCUGGAUGAUCAUGCAGCUGGUCAUCACUUACAUUGCUGGUUGCACGCAGGCACACACACACCAGUGCUCACAGCCAGCACUUGUAAGAAUGGCUGAGCUGGACCAAAUGAUAUGCGUGUCUUUCAUCAAUAUAAACAUGGACUGCAUUCAUCUGGACACGAGCCUUUCCCACCUACCAAGCCUGCCCACCACCCGAAGCUUAAGCUCAUCUUGGAAGACCUGACACUCAGCAAGCCGUCUCCCCUUGUUCCACCGGCUUUGUGGCCCCAGUGUCUGUAUAAGCUGCUGAUUUGCCUUCGGAAAACAAACCAGCAUCGAUUUCAGAGAAAUUACUGGAUAAUUUGCGCUGUGAGGCGCCUAGAUCGCAAGGGGCACUCCGCAAAUGACAGCCGCUCCCGUGCACUUGUCCAGUCAUUCGGGUGGCAUACUGUCCGGGUGGAAGCCCGCCACAAUAAUCUAUUUGGAAGGCACGAACGGCUUCGUUAGAAAUUGCCUUCUUGUAGCUAUCAGACCUUGAGCAAAACAGAUAAGAACUGGGGCAAUGGAGGCAUAAACAUUAAGGCUAGGAGGUAUUUUCGGGGAGAAAGCGGGGGUACCAGGGAGGAAGCUCAACUUUAUGCCCCGCGCCCGGGAACGCUUUGCCUUUAACCACUUGCGGACCCGCCGGGCGGAGGAAGCCCUCCGGAAGUGAGCGCACGCAACCGUGAAGUCAGAUUCUUCCGCCAAGCGCGGCCCUCCCUCCUCGGGCUUUGCCUUCACUCUCCAGCUUUUCUUUUUUCACUCCCGCUCGCCGACUCCAGCCCGCUGGGCUCACGCUCUGCCGGACACCAGUCCCGGCGCCCCUGCCCGACAGCGCUCAAGGCUAAGCCUGGCCUAGUCCGCGGAGUCCGCCCCUCGCCGCCACCGGGAUCCGCCCCCCGCCGACACGCACUUCCGGCGGCCCCGCGGCCGGGAGGGACCGAGCGGGGAGCAAGGCCUGCGGUGAGGCGCGGGAUGGGCGCGCUGGCUGUCAUGCUGUAGGACCUCUUGACCCAGAACCAUGCCCGGCGCAGGGAGAACAACGAGCUUAUGGACCGGGUGCGGGGGCUGCUGUGCGAGAAAGCCUACCUGCUGGCCCGGGAGCGUUCGCCGCCGGCCCACCUGGUGGCUUUCCCGAGACGUUUAACGGCGACUCCGCCCGGCCUCCCGACUUUUUGAUGCAGGCGUUCUCUUACAUGACUUUCUUCGAGGCUAGAUUCUCGAAAGACAUCCUGAAAGUGGCUUUCUUAAUUAGCUGCCUCACCGGGUGGCGGAGCAGUGGGUAGUCGCCUGCAUCGAGACGGAGAGCCCCGUCCUGGCUCAGUACGAGGGCUUUGUGGACGCGCUGUAGCGGGCCUUGGCCGUUAUGGGUAGGAAACAGUCGGGCCGGAUCCCCGGUGUCAGGGGAGCGGCUGCGGCCUGGGCCCGCGUGAGCCACUUCACUCCUACAAGCCCGGCUCACUAGUUCCAAGCUGCUGGACUUUGACCCUCGCUGGGAAGCUUGAUCGCAGCCUGUUCUCGCCAAUCUCUAUGCCUUUGCACUGCCCAGCAACCCAGCCACUGCCUAGGGCAUGUUAAAAGUUGAAUGGACCUCCCAGAAUGACGCCUCUGCCACCGCCAUUUCUAGAGACGGCUUUUGACCACCUUUGAGAAUCAGGGUCAAGCUCGGAAGGGCCUGCAUUUGUCACACCUCCUCGGACACUUAUUUGGAUAGUCCAGGCCCUGAGACAGCUUCCCGGGUUAGUGUGCCUGACAACACUGAUGAAAAAUUAAUGACAUUUUCCUUCCCCAAAACUACUUCGUUUUAUACAUUUCACUUCUCUUCUGAAAUCACAGCAAUGUCAGUUUGCGCCUUUUGGUCUGAGGAACCCAGGCCCUGGCCACUACCAGGAAAAAGUAUUUACUUUUAAAACUUGAAUGUAUAUCUUUACCAUAUGCCUAGUACAGUAGUGCUUGGAAGAAACAGAUUAGUAAGACAAAAUGUAUGUCUUCAAGAACACUUAUGGUCUGAGAAAGAAUUCUGAAUGCAGAUUCUAAUGUCUUGUAAAAUGCUUUAAAGUGUAAAGAAUGCAGAUAUGAUUCUUAUGGCAUUUUAAACUUUUCACCCCACAGUUUUAAAGUGUUAAUGUAUGUUAAAAAUAUAUGCAAUUUAGAAAGGAGAGGGAAAGCCCAGCUUGAUGUUUGCUGCCAAAGAUGGUAUAUUUAAAAUUAAACAUAACUAAUGGCAAAAAAUAAUGGGAAUGGUGCAGUCUAUGAGCUGUAUCCAGUUGGCAUUAUUCUCUUGGACUAAAAGGAAUAGUAUUAACUUCCUCACUUUGGGUAAGCCACUUUAGAUUUUUGGGCUGCAGUUUUCUCAGGUAAUUAGAGACUUUAUAUUAUUAAAGUUUGGUUCACGAUUCUUUGAGUGUCUUUUGGGAACAAAGAAGGUAAGAGGAGGAUAUGUGCCCUCUUCUCAAUCAAGGGGUUUCUUGAAACCCUCUAAGGAGAAAAAUCUGAAACUGCCUUUCCUAAAACGUUCAUGGGUUUGUCAUUCUGAUGAUCAAUAUUGUCCCACUGAAAUAUCUUUUUGAAUUCCUAGUUAGGAAUCUUUAUGUUAAGAUAAACUGAGCAUUCUCUCCUUCGUGGACAGUUUAUCUACCUAAAGACGAUAGGGGAAAACACUGUUUUUGAAAGACAAAAUAAAGACAUGUUGUAGCAGUUAUUUUAUUGCCAGUUAGUAUUACAAAAGUUCCUAAGGAACUCCCCAUUAACUUGGCCUCAUAUGAACUACGCUUGAGUCCCAUUUUAAAUUGAGUCUUGAUCGUGCUUACUGACAGUUUCAAAGCAGCGUUUUUUUUUUUUUUUUCCCCAUAGUAAAAAACCUACAGGAUACCACCACCAAAGAAAAAAAAAAGUUUUUUCAAUAAACCUCACAAGAGCAUACAUUUGAUAGAAUACACGGAUUUUGUAAUGAAAGAUCACCAUCACCAUUUUCUAAGUCAGAACAUGAAAGUCAAAAUAUCUCAUAUAGAUGUCUUUUUUUUUUUUUUUUUUGAGAAGGUACACAAGGCUCGCUUGUAGAGAUGGAGUUACAUGGAGGGACAGAAGGUCACUGGUCAGUGAUUUUAGGUUUUUAUACUUCUGAAAACACAACCUUCUGGAUUUCAGCUUUGGCAAGCUUCCUCUGUUUCUGAGCCACCUCCAUCACCUGGGGUACAAUCCCAUCCAUGAUUUUCCCCAUCUCCAGGCAUUUUUCAUGGAAAGCUCCUCAUGCUUUUUAAUUCCAGGUUAUCCAUUUGUGUGUCUUUAACCUCCAAAUCCAGGUCUUUCUAGCUCAACUGCAGCAUAUCCACAAUGGGGCCAAUGGACACAUACGGGAGGUCCUAUCACAGGAACACCCGGAGUCGCUAGAAAUCAGAUUCCACCAGCUUUGCUUCAGGCCAACUUCCUAAGGAAGGCAUGGUAGCAUCACAAAUGCUGUUUGUCUCAGUUGCCUGGAAAACCAAUUUCUUAGAGCUGUCAUUCAAGAGUGGGUCAAAUUUGAGACAUAAAAACCUUUCUCAAGGUAGACUCUUUGUCCCCUAUGCCUAGUACGUCAGCUGGGCCUCUGAAGCUCUCCUCUUUGAGGUCCUGGCAGGCUCUGGCCCCUGUUGAGAAGGGGAAGCAGUCAUGUGAACUCAUGUGCUGGAAGAAUCCACUCUACCCCUUCCCUGGCUACUCUCAGCUUCUCUGCUGCAAUUUUUGUCUUUAAACAUAUCUUCAGGUGAUUUCAGUUGCAUACAUAGUUGAGAAAUAUAAGAUUUGGUCCCCAGUAGAGAGCCAGGUGAACUUAAGGAGUCCAUCUAAGAAAAUUGCACAAUUAUCGAGUUUCACUUGGGUUUAGCUUUUAUGGCUUUACUUGAUUUAGUAAUCAAAUGAUUUUCAAAUGAUUUUGAUCAGGUGAUUCUUCGUAAAUUAGAGAAUGAACUCGAGAGCCGAAUUAGCACAGUUUAAAAAUAAUCAUUUUGUUUUUGUUCUCUAUUGUGUAAAUUAUUGAGGUUUGACUGUCUUGGCUAAACUAAGGCUCAUCUAAUAUCUUUAUUUUUGAUAUCCUAAUUUUUUGCCAAUUAAUUGAAGGUAACAUACUAGCAGACCAGAUAACUAUGCAAACCUCAGAUAACUACUAAUUUAAGCAAAAUUAAAUCCUUUGCCUUCCCCAGAUCCUUUGCACAUGGCCUGCUAUCAACAAUCCUCUACAAUGAUUCUCAGCAUCACUUGGGGAGCUUAUGUAAAAACUCAAAUUCCUGGGCCCUAUCCCCAGAGUUUCUUAUCAAGUAAGUCUCCAUUGGGAUCUGAGGAUUUGCAUCUCUAACAAAAAUUCCUAGGCGAUGCUGACACUGUUGGUGUAAGGGUGAGUACAAAUUAGAAAUAAAACUAUUUAAUUCUGCCUGGUGUAAAGAAGAGAGAAAGAGACUUUUACCCUCCACAUCCUUUUCUUUGUCAUUUACUUUAGAAAAUUUAAUUGUAAGCUUUUUCUGUGCCUCUUUGAAAUGCCUGUAAAUCUUUCCAAAAACUAAAUUAGGCUUUGGCAAAUUUUACAACCUAAGAAUGUGAAUUCCUCAAGGACCUGGGAGCUAUCUCACUGAAAUUUAAUCACUGAGAAAAAUAGUACCCGUAUCGUUCAGCUUCCUGGAAACAUAACAGCCUAACUUUAUUAGGCACCUUGCUCCAUUACAAAGCUAUCUUCUGUCAUAAAGAUAUAAGAAAUUUAUUUUUCCCUUGGACAAAAACAA